CCAUUUCCUGCCUUGGACUGUGCUAGUCACAGGGCAAGAAUGAUCGUGGGCCCUCCAGACACUCCACGUGACAAGAAAGUUCCCCACCGAGAAGGCUACCUAGAGUCUGUCAUACAGAGUGAGAGCCCCCGAGUUCAAGCCAACCACUUUAUCUGCUGCCUGACCUUAGAAACGACAACUUCUUCCAGAACUAGAGGAACUGGCUAAGAUGAAGUAUCAAGAGCCUGUGUGUCUGCCAGCUGCCUGCUGCCCUACUAAGGCCGGCAGGAAGCUGCUGCUAGGAACUGAUCCAUUCAACUUCUAGACAUCCCAUGUCGGAGUCUCCACCGCACCGACGAACAUUCCUGCAC
ensembl:lncRNA